rnacentral:rRNA from 1 species
GACGAACGCUGGCGGCGUGCCUAAUACAUGCAAGUCGAACGCAGUGGGUACGGGUGAGUAACACGUGGGUAACCUCCCAUCAGAGGGGAUAACACUUGGAAACAGGUGCUAAACCGAUACUGAUGGAUGGACGCUCGGUGCAUUAGCGAGUUGGUGAGGUAACGGCUCAACAAGGGCACGAUACCUAGCCGAGCGGAGAGGGUGACCGGCCACACUGUGACUGAGACACGGCCCAGACUCCUACGGGAGGAAGCAGUAGGGAAUCUUCGGCAAUGGACGAAAGUCUGACCGAGCAACGCCGCGUGAGUGAAGAAGGUUUUCGGAUCGUAAAACUCUGUUGUUAGAGAAGCGGUAUCUAACCAGAAAGCCACGGCUAACUACGUGCCAGCAGCCGCGGUAAUUC